AAGUCGUAACAAGGUCUCCGUAGGUGAGCCUGCGGAGGGAUCAUUACAGAGUUCAUGCCCUAACGGGUAGAUCUCCCACCCUAUGUUAUUAUUACUUUUGUUGCUUUGGCGGGCCGUCAGGCUUCACGCCCCGGCUAACCGGCUUCACGCUGGGUAAGCGCCCGCCAGAGAACCCCAAACCCCUGAAUGUUAGUGUCGUCUGAGUACUAUAUAAUAGUUAAAAA
rnacentral:misc_RNA from 1 species